rnacentral:rRNA from 1 species
GUGGGGAAUAUUGGACAAUGGGCGAAAGCCUGAUCCAGCCAUGCCGCGUGUGUGAAGAAGGUCUUCGGAUUGUAAAGCACUUUACGUUGGGAGGAAGGGCAGUAAGUUAAUACCUUGCUGUUUUGACGUUACCGACAGAAUAAGCACCGGCUAACUUCGUGCCAGCAGCCGCGGUAAUACGAAGGGUGCAAGCGUUAAUCGGAAUUACUGGGCGUAAAGCGCGCGUAGGUGGUUUUGUAAGUUGGAGGUGAAAUCCCCGGGCUCAACCUGGGAACUGCCUCCAAAACUACUGAGCUAGAGUACGGUAGAGGGUAGUGGAAUUUCCUGUGUAGCGGUGAAAUGCGUAGAUAUAGGAAGGAACACCAGUGGCGAAGGCGACUACCUGGACUGAUACUGACACUGAGGUGCGAAAGCGUGGGGAGCAAACAGGAUUAGAAACCCUAGUAGUCC